CAGCUCUGCGCGUGCCGAGAUGAUCGCCUGGCUAAGGGCUGAGACCCUGGCUGCCGGAGGAUAGGAGGGUGGCCGAGGGAAACAGAGGGGGGUCAGCGGGUGGUUCCCGGAUGGUCCAGGAGGCGGAGACACUAGGGAGUCCCCGUAGGCGGUGCCUCGGCGGCGGGCGUUAUUUACCUGCAGUCUUGGAGCAGGUAAAAAGAACUUAAGCCCAGAAAGCGAAAACCAGAACCGGAGGACCUCUAUUUCCUUCUUUUCUUUCCCGGAGCUUCGAGAGUCCUCGCCUCAUCGGCCUCCAACCUAUCAGCGCCCACCCACCUAGCGUCCCCUGCUCAGCCGAGAAGCCAACGCACGCAUUAACCUCUCAGUGACCACUCGGAUCAAGGCGAGGAGCCAAGCGUCUAAGAUUCUGGUCUUCCAAGUAUACCUGGUGGGCGUCUCCCUCUCUAGCUGCGGGGGCGUGCCCAGCGCGUGCCUACUCACUUCUGACCCCAGCCUGGGCUUGGCUCGUGCCAGUGCCCAGACACUUGGUCCCCGAGGUGGGGGAAGGCGGGGCGUGGUCCCCGAGGUAGGAGGGGGGCGCGUCCUCAGCUGUAUGCUAAUGAGGUUCUGACUCCUCCUUCAGGGCCUCCCUCACCUGGGUCCAGCUUCAGCUCCAUCGCCUAUUGCCCACCCUGUCCCCCCACUCCAGCAACCCCAAGCCCCCGCCCGCGUCCUGUAGCUCCGCUGGGGCAGGGAGGAACUCUCCUGACUCCGGAGUUGACUCGGGCCACUGGAGAGUCAAGGUGAGGGACUGAGACCAGGCAGGCCCGAGUACUCUCCUUCAUAGGGCAGGAUGUGAGGUGGAACUGGAGUCGCACCGAGUUGUUUGAGUUUGGGGCGGCUUCACUCGUCUCGCCCGCGCGACUCUCCCGGGUGGCCUCACUUCGAGAGGCAGCGGCGCAGCUGCUUUCCCGGAACCCGGCGUGAUCCCUGGAGGCCGCAGACCGCGAGGGCCAGCUUCUCCCAGUCUCGAGGGUGCCCUGGAGGUCUCUCUCUCUUUGCGACGCUGAGGGCGGCGGGGGCCCUGUGGCUUCAGCUGUCAGCCCGCCCGCGCAGUGAUGGCUGUCGCCGAACGAUAAGAUCAGUGCGGGGGGAGCGGGGACGCGUCGCGGGCCCGGGGGAGGCCGCAGGCAGGGAGGGGGGUGCGGCGCGGAGCCCAACAGCUGCCAAUGCCAAGCAUGGUCUGAUUUUUUGACUCGGGUGGUGGUGGUGGAGGAUUGGGGGGCGGGAGGAUGAGAUACAAGAGGUUGGGAGCGUGGGUUGGGGGAGGGGCGAGGUGAGGCGACGGGCUCCGGGGUCCCCCACGCACGGCCACCCCUCCCAGCCACCAUCUGGCGCGAGCGGGUUGGCGUGGGGAACCGAAGUGGGGCGGGGGCCGGCAGAUGGGCCCAGGCUGCUCCGAGAGUUAAUGUAGGUUAUGGGCAGGCGGAGUCCCAGGCCCGAGGGAGGGGGAGCCCAGAGUGUGCCUCCCGGCAAUCCUGGCAAGUGGGCUUCCAGAUCCUCUCUCCGUGAAUACUCUAUGGCUCUCUAGACCUGCCUAGGAUGCCAGAAGGUGCUCCUCGCUCUUCUCUGAGCUGGCAUCCAGCCCCACCUAGCUCUGUCCGCUUCCAUUCCUAAAUCCUGGCCUGGGAGUUCAUAAAAACAUGAUCCUUUUUUUGGAUGUGGCACUUCCCUGACCCUCAAGAGAGACAUCCAUUUCCCCAGGAGGCAUCUCUAUCAAUACUGGCAGAUCUGGAACUUUCUCUAUCCUCUUAUACACCUGGACUAACAUCCCCAAAACGUUUUGCCCAUGGUCAAGGACCAAACAAAAGUUGGGAUCACUGCAAGGGAUUCUAGUGUUCUACAUAGUCUCUGAACCUGGAGGAAAACAGUAAAUUUUCCUCCUUACCAGAAACACCUGUUUGCAUGGGGCGCUGUCCAAAAGCUCACUACCUGGCCAGGACCCCAUCCUUAUCCCUGAGUACCUACUAUUACUCCAUUUUGCUGGGGUAGAAUUUUGCCCAAUUUGCUGAGCCGGAAAGGGUAACGCUGCAGGCAGGGAAUCCAAGUGAACGGGCCUGAAUGUUUCUGAACAGACACCCCAAUUCUGGAACACCUCACUUCCACACUCCAGCGGAAGGAUGAAAUUUGCAUUCUUGGGGCUCAAAAAAAGAGUAGGAAGCAGGGAAGCGAUAAAGAGGCCGCAGAUCACUUGGAUUGGGGACUCUUCGUCAGAGUCUACAGAUCCUAUGACUGAUGUAGACGCUUGACCACGCCCUGGAGAGUGGACUUCGACUUGGUUCAGACCAACCUGGGCUCCCACUAACUGCGAGUCUUUCUCGGAUCCACAGUUCCUCAAUCUCGACCCUGCCCAGCGUCGGAAGCCAGACCAGGGUGGAAGCCUGACUUCACACUGAGGACCACAGCCCCCGCCCCAAGAGGUCUUCUACUUUGCGGUCCUUUCAGUUUGGCUAUUGUGCUACCACUACACAUCAUUCCCGCAGCAGGCAGAACUAGCACCUGGAGCCAGGAAACACCAAGGUUGCCUUCCGCAGUGCACUCAGACUGACCCCGGGUCACUGGAGUACGUCCGGAGCCGGAGCCGUAAGUCUCUGCACUUCUUCCCAGCUGUGUGGCCUACAAGCCUUGCGCAGAGUCGUGGCCGCAGCUCCGAGUUCUCUAGUAGUUUUACCCCUCAUCCCACCUCCUCCAUUCCUCCCAGGGGACAGCGCUCUCGACCCGGCACACUGCAAAAGGGUAGAAACACAGUGGGGUCCCUGCCACAGAGCCCGAUGGGCAGGUUGGGGGCGGGGAAGCAGGCCUGGCUGGGGCGGAGCGCUUAAGCCUUGAGGGGCGCUGCUGUGGUGGAUGCGGAGAAGGGGCCACGUGCAGGGAGCGGCGGCCCGAGAGCUGCACAGAAGGCGGGGAGAUUUGCAAACUGUUGCUGCCACAUGGCUGCUCCAUUCGAUCCAUUCACAUUGAAAUGAGGCCGGCGCGUGCCUCAUCUGCCGCAGGGCGCUGCCACGCGUCAGCCCGACCCGCCGCGUGCCAACUGGGGCAGUGGGGCUGGCAAAGUCUGCCAGCCGUGGGGGCUCAGCCCAGGCCCUACAGCCAGGAGGGGGUAGGGGAAGGGCGUCGAGCUACCCUAGCCACUCAGGCGCCACUGAUUCUCGGACCUUGGCCCCGCAAUUGCGAUUGAGCCGGCAGAAAGGACUAGGACGGACGGUUUCAAAAGGGGGCCAGGAUCGAUGCCGCCGCUCCCCGCAGAUGCGCCCCGGCAGCGCUACUCUCCAUCUGCCGCUGCUCGCACCUGCCGGUCAAUAAAUCGAUUUUACAAUUUAAUGCAGCAGCUUCCCGCCCGCCUGGGACAGAUGCCGCCGCAGAACCACCUCCGCCUUCGCCCCUCCCCUCGAGGGGCGCCAGCGGUUAAGGACUGGAUUCCCGCUCAGCUGGCAGCGCCCUGCGGGGCUUAGUGCACCUCUCUUGGGAGCCCCUACAAGGAACUGCCCGCUCCGGGUUUUUCCCGCGGACAGAGUGGGUUCCCCAUAGGUCAGGCCUGAAGCUGGCCAAGGAGACCAAAUGAUGACUUGGCCGUGGCCUCGCUUGGGAAGGGGGGGCGGUUCAAGGAAGGAACAGGAUGCAGUGACUGAAGAUAAAAUGUGAGGGCCCCUGUGAGAAGGAAGGGGAGGGCCUUGGGCACUGAGGGACACUGAGUUCUGAAGAAUUUUAAGGGGGCUGAGCUGGGUGGAACACUGAGGUGGGAUGAGGGUUCUGCCUACCCUUUCUUGUCAGUCUGGUAAAUAAACAUGAUAGGGACUUGGCUCCCAGCACUUCCUAGCCAUG
rnacentral:lncRNA from 1 species